rnacentral:rRNA from 1 species
GGACUACUAGGGUUUCUAAUCCUGUUCGCUCCCCACGCUUUCGUGACUCACCGUCAGUUUCAGUCCAGUUAGCCGCCUUCGCCACUGGUGUUCUUCCUUAUAUCUACGCAUUUCACCGCUACACAAGGAAUUCCGCUAACCUCUCCUGUACUCUAGUUCAGCAGUUUCUUAUGCAGUCCCUCGGUUGAGCCGAGGAAUUUCACAUAUGACUUGCCAAACCGGCUACUCACCCUUUACACCCAGUAAUUCCGGAUAACGCUUGCCCCCUACGUUUUACCGCGGCUGCUGGCAC